rnacentral:rRNA from 1 species
CCUACGGGAGGCAGCAGUGAGGAAUAUUGGUCAAUGGCCGGAAGGCUGAACCAGCUAAGCCGCGUGAGGGAGGAAGGCGCAGAGCGUCGCAGACCUCUUUUGCCGGGGGACAAAAGGCCGGACUCGUCCGGUCCUGAGGGUACCCGGAGAAAAGCAUCGGCUAACUCCGUGCCAGCAGCCGCGGUAAUACGGAGGAUGCGAGCGUUAUCCGGAUUUAUUGGGUUUAAAGGGUGCGUAGGCGGUUUUUUAAGUUAGUGGUUAAACGUCGGGGCUUCACCUUUAUUUGCCAUUAAUACUUUAAGACU